GACGAACGCUGGCGGCGUGCCUAAUACAUGCAAGUAGAACGCUGAAGGAGGAGCUUGCUUCUCUGGAUGAGUUGCGAACGGGUGAGUAACGCGUAGGUAACCUGCCUGGUAGCGGGGGAUAACUAUUGGAAACGAUAGCUAAUACCGCAUAAGAGUAGAUGUUGCAUGACAUUUGCUUAAAAGGUGCAAUUGCAUCACUACCAGAUGGACCUGCGUUGUAUUAGCUAGUUGGUGAGGUAACAGCUCACCAAGGCAACGAUACAUAGCCGACCUGAGAGGGUGAUCGGCCACACUGGGACUGAGACACGGCCCAGACUCCUACGGGAGGCAGCAGUAGGGAAUCUUCGGCAAUGGACGGAAGUCUGACCGAGCAACGCCGCGUGAGUGAAGAAGGUUUUCGGAUCGUAAAGCUCUGUUGUAAGAGAAGAACGAGUGGAGAGGGAAAGUUCAC
rnacentral:rRNA from 1 species